CGGUGAAAAUCGAAAAAUCGCGUCGCGUUGUCGAAUCACGUCCGGUGUGUCUGGAUGUCAGGCUUUUAACUGUCAAAUGCUACCUUUCUUGUAUCAUGGCGAUCAAAAAUAGCCAAAUACGAUCCGAUUUAUAAAUGCCGGUCGAAAUCACACUUUUGUCUGAGUAUUGAAAUUAUUCUCAUUUGGGAUUUAAAUUUAAGUCGUUUGAAUAAAGGCAAACUGGGAACAAGCAUUUGGGCAAAUGUUCGAAACUUUGAAGAACUUUUAAAUCCUAAACCUCCUAAAUGUGGAAAAAUGCGAUUUCAACCGACCACUUCAUUCUUUGUCUUUUCUACAGUGUGUCUAGAAAAAAAGUGAACCUUUCAAAUUCAAAUUAGCUAUAACGUAUUGUAGUAAUUUGACAGCUCUAAUUGCUUUGAAUUAAUGGUUGGGUAAGAACACAAGGUCUUGUACUCAUGGGAC